rnacentral:rRNA from 1 species
AUGCGCCUGCCGCUGCACCCCUUCUUCAGCGACGCGCUCGCGCACUUCGGCAUCGCGCCGUCGCAGCUCGCGCCCAACGGGUGGCGCGUCCUGGCCGGGUUCGCGGUGCUCUGCCACUUCCGCGGCGCCGGCGCGCCCUCCCUGCCCGUGUUCCGCCACUUCUUCGCCCUCACGCCGCUCCCCAACGGGAAGGGCUGGUUCUCCUUCCGCUCCAGGGAGAGCGUCCCGGCGCUCUUCACCGGGCUCCCCACGUCCGUCAAGGGGUGGAAGGAGGAGUUCCUGCUCGUGUCGCCUCCGCCGGGCGCGCCCUGGCGGUGCCCCGUGCGGUGGGGCUCCCCGACGAAGGAGGCGACGAGCGACCCCAUGCUCACCGGCAGCGAUGCGGCCGUGGCGUGCCGGCUGUCGCAGGGGCAGGGCGUCGUCGACCUGAAGACGUACCUGUCCGAGAGCAACCUCGUCGCCGCCAAGAUUAGCCGCGCCCCGGCGUGUCUCGGGACGGGAGCUUCCCAAGGUGCAGCGCCGCCCACGGCCACAGGGAAGAAGAGAAAGGCGGCUGCUCCUGCUGGUGGUGGCGGCGGCGGCGGCGACGUGCUUCGCUCGGAGCUGCGCGCGAAGGAGAUGGCUCUGUCCAAGGCCAAGGGCGAGAUCAGCCAGCUGAAGAAGGAGCUGGGCAAUGCCAAGAAGAGGGAGCUUGCGGAGGCGCAGCAGGCACUGGCCUACGCGGCGCAGGUGCUCAAGCCGGAAGGCGGCGGGAAGGGAGCGGGGGCCGGCAAGCGGCGUCGUGGCGCCGAGUGA